rnacentral:rRNA from 1 species
UACAGAGGGUGCGAACGUUGCUCGGAUUUACUGGGCGUAAAGCGCUUGUAGGCGGGCGAAUGUGUCGGGUGUGAAAUCCCUGAGCUUAACUCAGGAACUGCAUUCGAAACUAUUCGUCUUGAGGAAUUGAGAGGAGAACGGAAUUCCCGGUGUAGAGGUGAAAUUCGUAGAUAUCGGGAGGAACACCAGAUGCGAAGGCGGUUCUCUGGAAAUUAUCUGACGCUGAGAAGCGAAAGCGUGGGGAGCAAACGGG